AGAACGAAAGUUAGGGGAUCGAAGACGCUUAGAUACCGUCGUAGUCUUAACCGUAAACUAUGCCGACUCUGAAUCGGCCUCUUGAUAAUUAUGGGAGGUCGGCGCAGUGUGAGAAAUCAAAGUUUUUAGGUUCUGGGGGGAGUAUGGUCGCAAGGCUGAAACUUAAAGGAAUUGACGGAAGGGCACCACCAGGAGUGGAGCCUGCGGCUUAAUUUGACUCAACACGGGGAAACUCACCAGGUCCAGACUUCUGUAGGAUUGACGCAUUGGCGAUGCUUCAUGAUUAGAAGGGUGGUGGUGCAUGGCCGUUCUUAGUUCGUGACGUAAGUUGUCUGCUUUAUUGCGAUAACGAGCGAGACCUCGGCCGCUAGUUGCCGGAAGCCACAUUUUGUGGGUCUUCGGCUCUUAGCGGGACUACCGGAGACAAUUCGGGGGAGGUUCGAGGCAAUAACAGGUCUGUGAUGCCCUUAGACGUUCUGGGCCGCACGCGCGCUACACUGACGCAGCCAGCGAGUUCAAACCUUUUCCGAAAGGAAUGGGUAAUCUUGUUAAACUGCGUCGUGCUGGGGAUAGAGCUUUGCAAUUUUUGCUCUUGAACGAGGAAUCCUAGUAAGCGCAA
rnacentral:rRNA from 1 species